rnacentral:rRNA from 1 species
UACGUAGGGUGCGAGCGUUAAUCGGAAUUACUGGGCGUAAAGCGUGCGCAGGCGGUUAUUUAAGUCAGGUGUGAAAGCCCUGGGCUUAACCUAGGAAUUGCGCUUGAGACUGGAUAGCUUGGAGUGCGGCAGAGGGAGGUGGAAUUCCACGUGUAGCAGUGAAAUGCGUAGAGAUGCGGAGGAACACCGAUGGCGAAGGCAGCCCCCUGGGCUAACACUGACGCUCAGGCACGAAAGCGUGGGGAGCAAACAGG